rnacentral:snoRNA from 1 species
CUGCAUUCUUAACCCUCCUGACAGCUCUCUUAUUAGCUUUCAGGAUAAGACUGAAUGCCAGAGAAAACUGUGGAUUCAUCCAAAAUGCAGAGCUCCUCUCCUGUGGCUCUCCAUUAUUUCACAUCUUCAACACUU